rnacentral:rRNA from 1 species
UACGUAGGUGGCAAGCGUUAUCCGGAAUGAUUGGGCGUAAAGGGUGCGCAGGCGGAACCAUAAGUCUGAAGUAAAAGCCAUCGGCUCAACCGAUGUAAGCUUUGGAAACUGUGGAUCUGGAGUGCAGGAGAGGACAGUGGAAUUCCAUGUGUAGCGGUAAAAUGCGUAGAUAUAUGGAGGAACACCAGUGGCGAAGGCGGCUGUCUGGCCUGUAACUGACGCUGAGGCACGAAAGCGUGGGGAGCAAAUAGG